rnacentral:rRNA from 1 species
UACGUAGGGUGCGAGCGUUAAUCGGAAUUACUGGGCGUAAAGUGUGCGCAGGCGGCCAUGCAAGUCGAGUGUGGAAGCCCCGAGCUUAACUUGGGAAUUGCGCUCGAAACUACGUGGCUGGAGUGUGGCAGAGGAAGGUGGAAUUCCACGUGUAGCGGUGAAAAUGCGUAGAGAUGUGGAGGAACACCAAUGGCGAAGGCAGCCUUCUGGGCCAACACUGACGCUCAGGCACGAAAGCGUGGGGAGCAAACAGG